ACAUUGUACUCAAUAAUAAUAAUUAUUAUUAUUGUUACAGUGUGAUAAGAUCGGCGUACCACUAGCUGCAGGUCGAUGUUGCGAGCUCGAUGGUCGCUUCCUAGAUCCGCUAUCGCGCGCGGAGUAAACCUGCAAUGUCCUCAUUUGCAGAGCAACAGAGACAUAGUAUCAUUCUAGAACUGUCUGGCGAGCGGUGGUAACAUCGAGUCAAAGUCGCAGGAAGAGCUAACAAGAGGGCCAAUUGGAAAUAUAUUGUUUUCACAUAACGCUGGAAGCUCGGUGGUGCACGCCGGCGGUCCAUUCGUGUUGGUGGCACAUUCUCAGCGCUAAUUUCGUUCAGCAACAUCCAGACGAACGCUACGAAUACAUGGGCUGAGAGUUAGAGGUGCAGCAGGACGAACUAUUUGACUGCUUAGCGGAAUGCCGGAAAGAAGAAUUCAGGGUGGUCACUGUUCAUGUUGCAGCUGUGACUAGUCGGAAAGGAAGUCAGGGUGGUCACUGUCCAUGUUGCAGCUGUGACUAGUCGGAAAGGAAUACAGGGUGGUAACUGUCCAUGUUGCAGCUGUGACUAGUCGGAAAGGAAUUCAGGGUGGUCACUGUCCAUGUUGCAGCUGUGAAUAGUCGGAAAGGAAUUCAGGGUGGUCACUGUCCAUGUUGCAGCUGUGAAUAGUCGGAAAGGAAUUCAGGGUGGUCACUGUCCAUGUUGCAGCUGUGACUAGUCGGAAAGGAAUUCAGGGUGGUCCCUGUCCAUGUUGCAGCUGUGACUAGUCGGAAAGGAAGUCAGGGUGGUCCCUGUCAAUGUUGCAGAAGUGACUAGUCGGAAAGGAAUUCAGGGUAAUCACUGUCCAUGUUGCAGCUGUGACUAGUCGGAAAGGAAGUCAGGGUGGUCCCUGUCCAUGUUGCAGCUGUGAAUAGACGGAAAGGAAUUCAGGGUGGUCACUGUCCAUGUUGCAGCUGUGACUAGUCGGAAAGGAAUUCAGGGUGGUCCCUGUCCAUGUUGCAGCUGUGACUAGUCGGAAAGGAAUUCAGGGUGGUCACUGUCCAUGUUGCAGCUGUGAAUAGUCGGAAAGGAAUGCAGGGUGGUCACUGUCCAUGUUUCAGCUGUGACUAGUCGGAAAGGAAGUCAGGGUGGUCACUGUCCAUGUUGCAGCUGUGAAUAGUCAGAAAGGAGGCAAGCGCACAAAAGCCGUCAUACAUUCGUGAUCAGAUGAAGAGACACGUUGAGCUUUGGAUUCCUCUUCAAAGAAUGGUGAUGUACAUGGAAGUGAACCACUAAGGCAUCGCCGCUUUUGUCUCAGUGAAUAAUAUGUCUGAAUAAAACCUUCUGUUGUUGCUGCAAGUGGUUGUUGCUGCAAGUGGUUGUUGCUGCUAUUUUGUCCGCAUUGUCUCAAUCCUUCUCGUUUGCUGUGUGGUCCGUGUGCUGUCUCAA